GAUGAACGCUGGCGGCGUGCCUAAUACAUGCAAGUCGAGCGAACAGACGAGGAGCUUGCUCCUCUGACGUUAGCGGCGGACGGGUGAGUAACACGUGGAUAACCUACCUAUAAGACUGGUAAAACUUCGGGAAACCGGAUCUAAUACCGUAUAACAUGUUGAACCGUAUGGUUCAACAGUGAAAUACGGUCUUGCUGUCACUUAUAGAUGGUUCCGCGCCGCAUUAGCUGGUUGGUAGGGUAACGGCUUACCACGGCAACGAUGCGUAGCCGAACGGAGAGGGUGGUCGGCCACCUGGGAACGGGAACAGGCACAGGACGCCUACGGGAGGCACCAGUAGGGAACUUUCGGCAAGGGGGGAAAGCCUGACGGAGAAAGGCCGAGUGAGUGACAAAGAUCUCCGGUUCGUAAAACCCUGUUAUUAGGGAAGAACAAAUGUGUAAGGAAAUGUGCACGUCGUGACGGUACCUAAUCAGAAAGCCACGGCUAACUACGUG
rnacentral:rRNA from 1 species